CGGGCGCUGGACAGUGGCGCUCCUCCCCUGUCGUCCACGGUAACGGUCAGCAUCGACAUCUCCGACAUAAACGACAACGCCCCUGCCUUCUCUCCGGCCAAUGUCACCGCUGUCAUACAGGAGAACAAGCCCAUCGGUACCAGCAUCAUUCAGCUCUCUGUAAUGGACCUGGACUCCUCCCACAACGGGCCGCCCUUUGACUUCCGCAUCCUGACGGGGAACGAGGGGGGCGAGUUCGUCCUGGAGCGAGACGGGACGCUCACGGCCAAUCAGGUUUUCAGGAGAGACCUGGCGACAGAGUAUGUGCUGCAGAUCAAGGUGACAGACUCGGGGAAGCCGCGCCUCUCCUCCACGUCCCCC
rnacentral:lncRNA from 1 species